ACAGGGAUUCCCUUAGUAACGGCGAGCGAACAGGGAAGAGCCCAGCGCCGAAUUCCGCGUCCGAAAGGGCGUCUGGAAAAUGUGGCGUUUAGGAGGGACCGUGCCGGAUCGCAGCUCGUGCAACAAGUCCCCCUGAUCGGGGCUGUAACCCAGAGUGGGUGCGAGGCCCAUAGUUGCUAGACUGCGUCCGGAUGCGACCUCUUGGGAGUCGGGUUGCUUGAGAGUGCAGCCCUAAUCGGGUGGUAAACUCCAUCUAAGGCUAAAUACGGCCGUGAGACCGAUAGCAAACAAGUACCGUGAGGGAAAGUUGCAAAGAACUUUGAAGAGAGAGUUCAAGAGUACGUGAAACUGCUCAGAGGCAAACGGGUGGGUCCUCGAAAUCCCGUGGCCGGAGGAUUCAGUCUGAAGGGAAAGACGACUCUGCAGUCGUCGUACGGUUCCGCGAAGCGGACCGCGCUGCAGAGCGAGUGUCGAUCCUCGCCAGACGCAUUUCUUCUGGCCCAGAGGACGCCGCAGCCGGUUGGGUCUUUCUACAAGACGGCCGUGCGGGAAGCCAGGCAGGUGGCCGGCGGUGCGGCUCGCCCGCAUCGUCGGUGCUAUCCGGCUUUUGUCCCGGCUCGUCACCCGACCGAGGAAAUCCUUCGCCUCCUUCGCAGCGAAUGCAGAGAGGGUGACACGUUCCGGGUGAAUGCCGUCCCACGCCUCUUGCUGUGGACGGUCCGAAAACCGAACGGUUGGUCGCACUCUGUUCUGCGGGAGGAACGUAGGCUUGCGGCGAGUAGGUCGGUCGCCCACCCGACCCGUCUUGAAACACGGACCAAGGAGUCUAACACGUGUGCGAGUCAAUGGGUCUUGAACAGGCCCAUGGGCAGAUUGAAAGAGAAGGCGGACUCGUUCCGCCGUGUUGGGACUCCCCCGCCUUCGCGCGGAGGGAAGCACCAACGACCCGUCCUGUCUGGUCUCCAGUUGGGCGGAGUCGGAGCACACGCGUUGGGACCCGAAAGAUGGUGAACUAUGCCUGGGCAGGACGAAGCCAGAGGAAACUCUGGUGGAGGUCCGUAGCGGUUCUGACGUGCAAAUCGAUCGUCAGACCUGGGUAUAGGGGCGAAAGACUAAUCGAACCAUCUA
rnacentral:rRNA from 1 species